GUAACAAGGUUUCCGUAGGUGAACCUGCGGAAGGAUCAUUACUGAAGAUAACAGGAUCUUUGAGACUGCCAUGACGGCGUGCUCGAUCCUCUUCAUCCACACACACCUUUGUGCACUAUGGGGACGCAAGUCCCCCUUUGUUUGACAAACACCAGUUUAAAUGCAUGUAUUUGAAUAUUUGAGUUAAAUGUACAACUUUCAACAACGGAUCUCUUGGCUUUCGCAUCGAUGAAGAACGCAGCGAACGUGCGAAACGUAAUGUGAAUUGCAGAAUUCAGUGAAUCAUCGAAUCUUUGAACGCAUCUUGCGCUCCUUGGUAUUCCGAGGAGCAUGCCUGUUUGAGUGUCGUGAAAUACUCUCAAUUUCAUUCUUGAAAUUGGACUUGGGUGCUGUUGUGUUCGCACAACUCGUCCUAAAUGCAUUAGCGAUCUGGCUUUGACGACACACAAUGUGAUACAUAAAGAGCAUUGUUACAAUCAAGUCAGGAUGGCUUCCAACCGUCUUUGCGGACAUGAUUCUAUGUCAUUUGACCUCAGAUCAGGCAGGACUACCCGCUGAACUUAAGCA
rnacentral:rRNA from 1 species